rnacentral:tRNA from 1 species
GGGCAUUUGUUCUACUGGUAUGAUUCUCUUUUUGGGUGUGAGGGGUCCGAGUUCGAUUCUCGGAAUGCCCU